GGCUCCUCAUCCAGUUGAUUAUCCUCUCCAUCACCAUUCUCCAAAGCUGCAUAUUUGUUUGAAGUUUGAAUGGGCGCACCUGGUCCCUUACCAACUUUCAGUUCCUUUCCUGUAACUACACCAUUUUCACUUUUUGAAUUUUGAUUUUUGCUAUUAUCAAUCAAAGUAGGUUAAUUUUGACCUUUACUCCAUUGCCAGGUAUU
rnacentral:lncRNA from 1 species